rnacentral:guide_RNA from 1 species
UGUAAAGAGGGAAUAUACACCCUCUAUAUAUAGUGAGAUAU